rnacentral:lncRNA from 1 species
CGCCGCCAUUGUUCCUUGGAGGGAAGUGCUCUUUGAUAAAUAAUUCUUCAGAUUUAGUGUUUACAACAAUAUAUCAGAAAUAGUGGUGUGGUUUUUAAGAAACCUUACAUUUUAUAGACAAUAUAGACUUAUUUUUAAAUUCGAACACAAACGUGGAAACUUGUUUUGUGGAAUGUCUGCGAGUCUUGAUCAGGUAUGGUCACCAUGCGCCAUUUUGUGAAUGUAUUUGUAAUUUCCUGUAAUCAAUAAACGCCCUAAUACGUAAAUUAAUUCAGGCCUUGGUCAUCUAAUUAUUAGUUAUUUGCCAUUGAUUUUGUGUUAUUUCUUUUUCAUGUACUCCCAACUUCAGAGAGGAAAAGGACAGCCAAACCAAGGUACGUUAUUGACAAUAUUUUGGUGGGAAAUACAUUUUUUUGUGAAUCAUUUCACUUUACUUUCGGUUAUGAAAAAAUGCUACAAGUAUUGAUAUAGAAUAUUGAAGGUUAAAAAUGAACUUAAGUGUAUAUUUAUGUUUGUUGUUCAUGUGUAUAUUUUAGCAGGUGUGUGGUUGAUAAACAAUACGAGGAUGUAAAUGAAAUAUCAACUUUCCUUUUUCAUUACAAAGCCCAAGGACAAUUUUUAUAUUUUGAAAGGCUUACAAUGUAUGACAUGUAACUGUUUCAGGCAACCAAAUAGCAGUUAAAAGAGGAUAAUAAAUUUUUAUUAAAUUAAAAUAUAUACAACUAUCUGUUUAGGUUGUGUCAAUAAAAAUAAUAGGGUAUUUAGGUUGGUAUUUCCUUUUCAUUUUUUGCAACAUGAUAAAAUGAGUUUUGCUGUCCCUCCUAUCAAGGAUGAGCUAACUCGUAUUUUCUACGAUUGGUCCCUUUUUUCACACGAGUCCAUUAAAACAAUGGGUAUAUAUAGGAUUGUGAACAUGAAGUAUCAGGCAACUCUUUUAACUUUGCAUUUGACACAACAUUAUUUUUUCACUUUGAGGAAUAAGAAAAAAUGUAUAUAUAUGGUAUGAUUGCCAGUAAGACAACUCUCCACAAGACAAUUAUUUGGUCGUAAUCGGGCAUAUUUUUUUGUUGUCUUAUAACAAAAAGUUGACAAAAUCAUACAGGAACAUUUCACAUUUUAUUAUUAAACAGCUUCAAUUGAUAGUUUAUUGACAUGCACUAUUUAAAACCCUUUUCCUACUUGCACGAUUGCGAAAAAUAACCAUUGUAGUAAGGGAUAAAAUAAGAUAACAUUCCUUAAACCAGAAAGCUUCUUUUUUGUCUGGCCUGCAUUGAAAUUUGCAGAAAUCGAUAAUAUUUUCUGGCUAAGUCGUCAGUGUUCACAAUUUUUUUAUGGCCCAUUUAUGGGCAUUAUAUUUUCUGAUUUGUGCGGCUGUUCCUUGGCCUUAAGGUUAAAUUUUUUUGAUGAAGUUGAAGUCUACGUGAAACUGAGCACUCAUGUUCCCUAUAAUACAUUCUUUCUAAUUUUAAUGCCAAAUUAGAGUUUUCACCCCAAUUUCACAGUCCAUUGAACAUACCACAUGAUGGUGAGAUUUAGGCAUCCAUGUACUAUGGACACAUUUUUGUUUAUUUUCUGCUUCAGUUUGUAUGAUAGGAACUACUAACAGUCAACAACGUUUUUUUUUAAAGUAAAGUAAAAUAUUAAGUGUCAUUUAUUAUUUGUUUAUAUAUAUUUUAUGUCAUUUAUGUACUUUUUGUAAAAAGCUUAUUUGAAUCACAGUUAUUUGGGUUUGUAUUUCUAAUUGUACAAUAUGCUAUCAAUGGCUUCUGUCGUGCUCAUUUUUGUGUGAAUGACAAUAUAUUUGAUUUGUAUAUUACGAUAUCUAGAGAAUUGAGGUAAAGAAUUCAACCAUCAAUUGAUACAAUAACUGCUAAUAGAAGAUUGAUUGAUUGAACAACAAAGUUCAUUUUCAUAUUAAAGAUUACGAUAUAUCUAUUGUCUUGUACUAUAGGAUUGAUCACAAUUAUCAAAAAUCAACUUGAUAAAUAAUGCAAACCCUCCAUCAUUACAAUAAAUAUGGUUAAUUAUCAUUACCACCAAUCAAUUAAAUCAAUUCAAUAAAUAUUUCAAAUUUAGUCUACAAUUGUUAUGAUAGAUAUGAUUGAUUACCACUAAUCAAUUAAAUAUACAUUGCAAACCUACAAUCAUUAUGAUUCGGAUUGAUUACCAAUAAUCAACUAAAAUUGUAAACCCUAGAUCAUUACAAUAUGACUGACAAACAAAAAUCAACUAAAAAGGUGUAUACUCUUGAUGAACAGUACAAUAAAUAUAUAUGACUGACUACCAAAAUUCAACUCAAUAAAAAUUGCAAACCACAAACCGUUACAAAAUUUGUAUACCCUUGAUCAUUAAGAGUGAUAACUUCACUGAACUGUACUGUAGUAUUAAAUUUAUUUUCAGUGGCAAAUGGACAAGCUAAAGAAACUGUGAAAGACGAGGAAUUUGAACCUUAUCUACAACAACCACCCCAACAUCAGGUAUAAAGAUAACAAAAAACUGGACUUCACAAGUCUGUGGAGUCUAUGAAUUAACAUUGUACACAGUUUAAACCAAACGCUUGAUGUUGGAACAUAAUUUUUGUCCUAAAGCUUUUGACAAGCUUCAACGAAUUUCUUUAAUUCUUAAUGAAUU